rnacentral:rRNA from 1 species
UACAGAGGGGGCAAGCGUUAUUCGGAAUUAUUGGGCGUAAAGGGCGCGUAGGCGGCAUGGCAAGUGGAAGGUGAAAUCCCUCGGCUUAACCGAGGAACUGCCCUCCAAACUGCUUUGCUUGAGGCCGGGAGAGGUGAGUGGAAUUCCCAGUGUAGCGGUGAAAUGCGUAGAUAUCGGAAAGAACACCAACGGCGAAAGCACUCUGCUGGGCCGACACUGACACUGAGAGACGAAAGCUAGGGGAGCGAAUGGG